rnacentral:rRNA from 1 species
UACGUAGGGUGCGAGCGUUAAUCGGAAUUACUGGGCGUAAAGCGUGCGCAGGCGGCUUUACAAGACAGAUGUGAAAUUCCCGGGCUUAACCUGGGAACGGCAUUUGUGACUGUAUGGCUAGAGUACGGCAGAGGGAGAUGGAAUUCCGCGUGUAGCAGUGAAAUGUGUAGAUAUGCGGAGGAACACCGAUGGCGAAGGCAUUCUCCUGGGCCUGUACUGACGCUCAUGCACGAAAGCGUGGGGAGCAAACAGGAUUAGAUACCCUGGUAGUCCACGCCCUAAACGAUGUCAACUGGUUGUUGUACCUUUAUUGGUUCAGUAACGAAGCUAACGCGUGAAGUUGACCGCCUGGGGAGUACGGCCGCAAGGUUG